UACGGGGGGAGCAAGCGUUGUUCGGAUUUACUGGGCGUAAAGGGCUCGUAGGUGGCCAACUAAGUCAGACGUGAAAUCCCUCGGCUUAACCGGGGAACUGCGUCUGAUACUGGAUGGCUUGAGGUUGGGAGAAGGAUGCGGAAUUCCAGGUGUAGCGGUGAAAUGCGUAGAUAUCUGGAGGAACACCGGUGGCGAAGGCGGCAUCCUGGACCAAUUCUGACGCUGAGGAGCGAAAGCCAGGGGAGCAAACGGG
rnacentral:rRNA from 1 species